UACGUAGGGGGCUAGCGUUGUCCGGAAUCAUUGGGCGUAAAGCGCGUGUAGGCGGCCCGGUAAGUCCGCUGUGAAAGUCGGGGGCUCAACCCUCGAAAGCCGGUGGAUACUGUCGGGCUAGAGUACGGAAGAGGCGAGUGGAAUUCCUGGUGUAGCGGUGAAAUGCGCAGAUAUCAGGAGGAACACCAAUUGCGAAGGCAGCUCGCUGGGACGUUACUGACGCUGAGACGCGAAAGCGUGGGGAGCAA
rnacentral:rRNA from 1 species